AAGUCGUAACAAGGUUUCCGUAGGUGAACCUGCGGAAGGAUCAUUCAUAAUAAGUGUUUUAUGGCACUUUUUAAAUCCAUAUCCACCUUGUGUGCAAUGUCAGUCGGUUUUCUUUUUCGUCAAGAAAAAGGAUCGACCAAACAUCAACUUAUUCUAAUUGAACUUUUGUCUGAAAACUAUUAUGAAUAAACUAAUUCAAAAUACAACUUUCAACAACGGAUCUCUUGGCUCUCGCAUCGAUGAAGAACGCAGCGAAAUGCGAUACGUAAUGUGAAUUGCAGAAUUCAGUGAAUCAUCGAAUCUUUGAACGCAUAUUGCGCUCUUUGGUAUUCCGAAGAGCAUGCUUGUUUGAGUAUCAGUAAACACCUCAAAACUCUUGAUCUUUUUCAAGCGUUUUGGACUUGAGCAAACCCAACGCCUUUUCUUUUAAGAUCUGUUGCGGCGGGUUGCUUGAAAUGCAGGUGCAGCUGGACAAUCUCCUGAGCUAAAAGCAUAUUUAUUUAGUCCCGUCAAACGGAUUAUUACUUUUUGCUGCAGCUAACAUAAAGGGAGUUUUGACCAUUAUGGCUGACUGAUGCAGGAUUUCACAGAGAAAAGGCCGGCAACGGUUUUGUCUCUGUCAAACUCGAUCUCAAAUCAAGUAAGACUACCCGCUGAACUUAA
rnacentral:rRNA from 1 species